ACGGGGGGUGCAAGCGUUGUUCGGAAUCAUUGGGCGUAAAGGGCGUGUAGGCGGCUGGAUAAGUCAGAUGUGAAAUCCCUGGGCUUAACCCAGGAAGUGCAUUUGAAACUGUCCGGCUUGAGUGAGGGAGAGGAAAGUGGAAUUCCUGGUGUAGAGGUGAAAUUCGUAGAUAUCAGGAGGAACACCGGUGGCGAAGGCGACUUUCUGGCCCUAUACUGACGCUGAGACGCGAAAGCGUGGGGAGCAAACAG
rnacentral:rRNA from 1 species